rnacentral:rRNA from 1 species
AGUGAACGCUGGCGGUAGGCCUAACACAUGCAAGUCGAACGGCAGCACAGUAAGAGCUUGCUCUUACGGGUGGCGAGUGGCGGACGGGUGAGGAAUACAUCGGAAUCUACUUUUUCGUGGGGGAUAACGUAGGGAAACUUACGCUAAUACCGCAUACGACCUACGGGUGAAAGCAGGGGAGCUUCGGACCUUGCGCGAUUGAAUUAGCCGAUGUCGGAUUAGCUAGUUGGCGUGGUAAAGGCCCACCAAGGCGACGAUCCGUAGCUGGUCUGAGAGGAUGAUCAGCCACACUGGAACUGAGACACGGGCCAGACUCCUAAGGGAGGCAGCAGUGGGGAAUAUUGGACAAUGGGCGCAAGCCUGAUCCAGCCAUACCGGGUGGGUGAAGAAGGCCUUCGGGUUGUAAAGCCCUUUUGUUGGGAAAGAAAAGCAGCAGGUUAAUACCCCGCUGUUCUGACGGUACCCAAAGAAUAAGCACCGGCUAACUUCGUG